GAAAGGGUAUAUCUGUCCCACACCAGACGUCGCUGAUUUACUGUACAGUUAUCUGCGAAUAUAUGCAUGGAGCUCAUUGAGGGUAUCAGGUGGUCGGUACCAGAGGCAGCGGCGAUCGACAGGUUGUACGCACGCAGCAUUGCCAGGCAAAAAUCAGCUGACUGCUAUGGAACGCAGCCCAAACCGGAACAAACUGUUAUUUUGAACGCAUUGACGGGCUAACAGCUUGGUUUCUUUUAUUUUUGCAAAUUUUUACUCCAUAAAUGUAUUUGAUGUUAGGAAUAUCAUAAUAUUUGUAGUUGUACAUUUCGUUUUCCAUUAACUUGACUUGGUUUAACAUUUAUUGUGGCAAAUUGUGAUGUUUUGUCCCUUGAUUGAUAACACAAAGAAAAGUACAGACAAACGUUUGGUAUUCCAUUCUAUGCAAAAGUACUUCUGUAAUUAUUACAGGGUGCGAAUAUUGUUUAACAUUUAUUUGUAUUUUGUAUUUGUAUUUGAAUUACUGUUACUGUUACAUUUACGUUUUCAUUUUUGUACCGUUGGAAAUAUACGCUUUUGUUUGGUUAUUACUCGUAUUUGUUGUAAUUAAAUUACGUUUGCCAGUUUAGUUUACCCUGCCGCAUACAGUUUGUUUGAAAAAUAUAUGUAAAUACUAUGCCUAUCUUAUCCCAUUGAAUACUGAGAUAAAUACAUACGAGUAUGUGUAGAUUUCAAGUGUUACGCUUUCGCUUUCGCCUUCACUUGUCUUUGUCCUUGUCUUUGUUUUUUUGUUUCCUUCCUAUGUUUUGUUUUGAUUUGUUUUUUCAAAAAUAGAUGUGUAAAAGUACAUAGAUCAUAUGAUGCGUGUAUGUAUGCAUGUAUGUAUAUGUGUAAAUAUGUUUGUUUGGAUGUACAAUAGUUAAAGUUAGUUUCGUUGAUGGAUUGGUUUUACAUUUUGUUAAAAGUUUAUUGGAGCGUAGCUCAAAAAUGUCUUCUUAUCAUCUUCUUUCAUUGUGUGUGUUUCAGGACAUGUAGCUUAAGUCUUACAAAAUUAUAAAUCAUCGAGUUUUGUUGGCUUUGAGCGGUUUCAAAUGUAUGUUGCACCAGUAUGAAAUGGCAAAUCGUCAGAUUUCUAUGCAUCUUUCCCUCAAAGUUGUUCAAAAACAGUAUUUGGUCAAGAGGCCUCACAAGCAAGUGUGUCAUUAGAGGAUAUAUUGUACAUCCACAAAUCCACAAUCAGACCUGCUUAUCGGCUUUCUCCUGCCAUAAUAGGACCUCUUAGGCAACUUUACGAAAUCAACAUAGUUUGUAUGUAUUUUGUGCUUUGUCUGCCGUACAGAUAUCGUUGAAUCUAUUUGGAAAUUCAAUUUGCACGAGACAAAAAUUAGGUUUUAGACCACAUCCCCAUACUUGGAUUUUCGGGAGUGUAUUGCAAAUUCUAAGCAAGGGAAUGCUAUUUCUGCCUCGUGCAAAGUACAAAAUUACUCUCGCCCAGUGUUUUGGUUAUGAUAACUAAAUGCAUUGAUGCAUUUUUGGUACUCAAACCUAUACUGAAAGGUUGUACAGAUAUUCAACAUUUUUGUUUUGUUUGUUUUUUUGCUAGUUUAACACCUUUUAAACACGUAUAGGUUUAGUAUUAAGUUGUCUGAUUAAUUUACGUUUAGACUAACAUACAAAAAGCUGCGUAGGCUGCCCCAACAGCAAGUCUGCUCGGUCUAUAUAGUGGAUAUAUCUGUGUGGGUUGAUAGCCGAGAACUUGCGUGCUGGCGCCACAUAUUAAAAUAGUUACAUACAUACAUAUAUGGUUUAUUUAAACCUAACCACAAGCAUACAUACAUAUACAGUUCAAUUAAAGAAUAUUAUAGAGGAUAUACAUAUAUAUGGGUACUAAAUACUCCUUCAACUCUUGUCCCCCUUGGGAGGGGGGCGCUCAAACGAAGCAUUUGCAUUUGUUUCUUCGCAUGAUGUGUGUAUUAUUAAUCACAAACAGUACAUACGAGUAGUAUACUCAAAAUACAAGUUGCAG
rnacentral:sRNA from 1 species